rnacentral:lncRNA from 10 species
CCAAAAUGAUGACUCAAAAGGCAAAAACCUUUCAGUAGCAUUACUAUUACAUGAAAAUCCUGUUUAAAGCCAUAUUUCACCCUUGCAUUAGUUUAUUAAUGUUAACCCAAUUUUAUUUAUUUUUUAUUUUUUUGAGACAGAGUCUUGCUCUGUCACCCAGGCUGGAGAGCAGAGGCACAAUCUCAGCUCACUGCAACUUCUGCCUCCUGGCAGAAUCAAGUGAUUCUCCUGCCUCAGCCUCCCAAGUAGCUGGGAGUACAGGUGUGCACCACCACACCCAGCUAAUUUUGUAUUUGUAGUAGAGAUGGGGUUUCACCAUGUUGGCCAGGCUGGCCUUUUUGCUCCUAAUUGUUGAAGGCAGAGCUUUCCCAUUCACAGUUGAAGCCUUUCUAGCAGUGCGAAAAGCCAGGAUUGGGACACCGCAGUUUAUGGCAUAGGACUCACAAUGUGCCUCAUGAAGAGGAUUUCUGUUUCCACUAGGUGGCGCUGUUGGCCUAGUAAUACCUUGUACUCACCAGAGAAAUCUCACACCCCAAACCCUCCAACAGGCCUCAGUGUGUGUUGUUUCCCCCAUAUAUCCAUGUGUUCUCAUCGUUUAGCUACCUUAUAAGAGAGAACAUGUGGUAUUUGGUUUUCUGUUCCUGCAUUAGUUUGCUAAGGAUAAUGGCCCCCAGUUCCAUCCAUGUCCCUGCAAAGGAUAUGAUCUCGUUCCUUUUUAUGGCUGCAUCCUAUUCCGUAGUGUCUAUGUACCACAUUUAC